rnacentral:lncRNA from 1 species
AAGUAUGUAACCAGUGCUUUUCUCUGUGUGCGAGUUAGGAGGAGAUAUCCCCCCCCGCACCCGGCGCCGUAAUGAGCGUACCUGCUUUGUAACCUUACGUGGGUUCCAGAGUUUGAUUCCACACGUCACUCCCUUCACUAUUAAGAGGACAAAGAACUUCUGGCACAGAAGGAUGCCCACCUGCAAGGCUCAAAUUGCACGCUGCUUCCUCCCUCUCUGCUCAGUAAAACUCUGUGUUGGGCUCAUUUGGAAGGAAGGUUUGGUGUUCUGACUUCCUGGACAGUUGUUACCUAAAGCCUGGAGUGCCUGUGUCAACUGUGGCGGUGCAACUGCCACACCUUCUCUCCCCCUUCUCUCAGGCCUCUCGGUGCACCACUUCUCCUGAGACAAAAGGCGGAGGACCGGUACGUGGAGGUACUCCUCCUCUUCCCUUGCCCCUGCUUGCCUCUGGGUAGCAAGGGGCAAUGAAUUGGAACAUUAGGGGAUGCCCUAGUUGUAUCUGACUCCUGCUUUGCGCCCCACUGCCCAGGAACAAUCCUGGGGUCAAUCGUCGUCUGACAGCCUGGGACGCGUGAACACGAAUCACGGCUCAGGUGGGGUAGCGUGGAAUCCGUGAGUCCAGCAAGUUCUGGGGUUUGCACAACUGGUAGAAAGAACCAGAAGAUUUUGCCAUGCGAGGGGGCUGGUAUGGAAAAGUAGCCGUCAGAUCUCCAUCGUCUCAGACCCUAUAACUAGAGAUUCAAAGCGAGUGUUAAUCAAUAUCUGAAGGGAAGUGGGAGGAAAAUGGAUGAGGCCAGGCUCUUCUCGGUGGUGCGUAGCGGAGGACAAUGAGCAGUGGCCUAGAACUUGAGCACAGGAAGUUCCAUGCAAACAUGUGGAAGACCUUCUUUACGGUAAGGGUGGGGGAGCCCUGGGACGGGUUGCCCAGAGAGGUGGUGGAGGUUAUGACCAGCAUCUCCUCUGGGUUGGGAUGCCUCUCAGGUACUGCCAAAUCCUCGAGGCCCUCUACCAAUGAUAGUGUACCAAGGAUAGUCUACUGUGCUGUGAUCUUCAGGGACGUUUUCAACACAAGCCAUCCUAUUGUUCUGUGAUCUUCAAGGACACUUCCAAGCGUACAAAAAUCCAGUGGUUCUGUGAUCUUCAGGGAGCCAUGCAACACAAACCAUUCCAGCGUUGUGUGAUUUUAGAAGCUGGACGUGAGCCAGCAGUGUGUGCUGGCAGCCCGGAAGGCCAAGUGUGUUCUGGGCUGCGUUAAGAAAGAGGUGGCCAGCAGGGAGAGGGAGGUGGUUGUCCCCCUCUACUCAGCUCUUGUGAGGCCCCAUCUGGAGUACUGCACCCAGGCCUGGGGCCCUGUAUGAGACCUGUUGAACUGCAACUCCACCUGUGUGACCGGAAGGGGUGGAGCCAGGCUCCACCUCUCCUAAACCCCAUUUAAGGGCUGACUGCCACGGAGGAAGGAUCGCUCUCUGAAGAUCACUCCUCUUGGAGCCCUUUUGGCGAGCCCAGGACACGGGAGAUGAACUUGGUGCUCCCUUUCCGGAUGAUCGUUUGGAUCCGGAUUUUGUGCCUGUGCCUCUGGGACAACCCAGAGGCCCUGCUGGUGAAUCAGCAGAACAGAAUCCUGCCUCUGAGCCUGAAGGGGAUGCUGGAGAUGUGACUGGAGGAGGUGAUCCAGGUUCCGCUCUGAGCUCUGGGACUGAAACUCCGGCAGAUCGCAUGGGAGUGCCCCCAGGGAGGGCUUUGCCCGGUCAUGUGUUUCCUCCUGCGCUGGAGCCCAGCUGGAAUCCCAGCGGUCCGGAAAAAGGAAAGGAUGAAUCCAAAAGAGGAGAAUACUCCCAGGGCUCAUCCCGUCUCCUCAAGGAACUGGUGAAGGAAAUGGAGAAGGCAGCGCGUGGAACUGACCAACAAAGUGAGCAGGAUGCACUGCAGGAAGAAGGCAGCCAUCCCACACUGCCAGUCUCGGGCAGAGGAACGCAGGCAGCGCCAACAACUGUCAUGCCAGGGAUGAAUGCCGGGACGAGCACAAAGGCUGCUGUUGGCAGAUCUGCGCGAAGGCGCCACAUCGCAGCGAUGGUACUGUUCUCAGCUGUGCUGCUGUCUGCGCUGGUGCUGGCCUGUGGUGCUGUGAUAUGGAUGUGCCAAAAAUACGUAGUGUGCAAGAGAGAAGAGAGAGCAGCAGAGCAGGCUCAUCCUGAUACCAACUAGGAGAGAGUUCCAACUGGAGACGAGGGCAGAACGGAGCUGGGAGAGGCAGCCGAAGAGACUCUUGCCCCAUCAAAGAAGAAUCUCAGCCAUCGUCCCAGUGCAUUCCAUUCUGCCAUCCAAGAGGCCAAAGGUCUUCAAAGUCAUCUGGAAGACUUGGAGCUUGAACUCAAAGCCGUGAAAGAGGUCCACGGGAACAGUCCUGAGUGCUGCUUUCUGUCAGGGGACGGCCCUGAAAGUGAGAGCGGAGAACCAGCAGCAGAGCUUUUGUCCUUCACCCUGCAUUCUCUGGGACAAGCAUCAGCAACAUUUCAAAGAUUCUUAGCUCGGCAUAGCUACAAUCCUGUUGAGGGUCCUAAUGAGGAGCCAGAAAGCGAGCUUCCUCUGACCGCUGGACAACACCUUAACGUCUUUGGAGCUGUGGAUGAGAAUGGCUGGUUUCAGGGAGAGCUGACAGAUGGCACAAGAGGACUGGUCCCAUCCAAUUUGGUUGCGGAGGUUUCAGAUGACGAACUGGAUACAACGAUGCCUCCGGAGCUCUGUGCUCUCCUGCUGGAUACUUGAUGAAUAAGUGGAUGCAGAGAUUCCAUCAUGCAGCAACAUCCUGUCAAAAUUCCUGCGUUACUCCAUCUGCAAGACUACCCCCUGCUCCACUUGAUGUUCAGGUGGAGUGUGUGCAGGACGUGGAUGAGCUCCUUUGGGAACACUCUGAGGUGACUGACAGUGUAACUGCAUAGUCUUGUGGUAUAUUAAACAAACAAACAAACAAACACCACCCACAAUAAAACAAACAA